rnacentral:lncRNA from 1 species
AUCCAAGGCCAACAGAAGUCCAUCAAGGUCAAAAAAAUAUGAAAGGAAAUAAAAAGAAAUAAAAAUGCAACAAGGGUAUUUUUAAAAUGAAUUUUAAAAAAGAAAUAAAGUGAAAAAUCCAUAAAGUCCUUCAAAACACCAAUUAAAACAAAAUAUUUUUAAAAAGUAGAAAAGAGCAUUUGAAAAAUGAAAAAAAGUAU